rnacentral:lncRNA from 10 species
GCUCUUGGAAUUCUCCCUCUCAGGAAACUAACAGCCUGCUAUGAAGCCCAAGCCACAAAGAGAGGCCAAGGGGAAAUAAACAGAGUGUGAUUAUAUGCAAAACCUACAAGAAUGAGGACCUCCAAACUCAGUGUACAGAGUGAUUUUCUGCUGAAACAAUUGGUUGGUGUAAGAAUAUUGGAAGCCUGAACCUAGCACUGUCUGCUACUGGCCUGACGUCUUUUCCACAACAUGGGAAGAGAUUGCCUGGGAAGGAAGCCAACUCUGUGGAAAGCAUAAGAAAUAACCAAAGAAAGAUGGCACAUCUUAUCUGGACAGUGUUGAAGUGAACUUUUAAAAUGAAGUAAAUUUUGUUGAAUCGUAGCCUGAGACAAUGAAGGGGUAAUUUAGGGGAAGAACCCCUACCUCUAAGUUGCCUUUUUUGACCACAUGCUGGAAGCUGGGUGUCGGUUACAAGCUGACUGUAAAAAACGGCAGGAAGGAGAGGGGCUUCUUCUCAGCCUUACCUUUAGGAAAUCAAAAAAAAACCAAAACUGAAUCCUCACUUAGCGGAGGGGAACAAAGAACUCAGAUUCUAAGGACAAGGCAGAAUCCAUUAGGUAUAGGGCAGAAGCUAAAAAAAAGGAGAGGACUCUGAUUAAAACAUAAAACCC